UGAGAAACCUGUCCCGGUCUCUGGAAUAACAGUCGGAAACGACUGCUAAUACCGGAUGCCGUCGGAGCGUCGCAUGGCGCGCUGACGAAAGGGCUACCGGAUUGGGAGGGUCUCGCGGCCUAUCAGCUUGUUGGUGAGGUAAUAGCUCACCAAGGCAACGACGGGUAGCCGGCCUGAGAGGGUGACCGGCCACACUGGGACUGAGACACGGCCCAGACUCCUACGGGAGGCAGCAG
rnacentral:rRNA from 1 species